CCUACGGGUGGCAGCAGUGGGGAAUAUUGCGCAAUGGGGGCAACCCUGACGCAGCAAUACCGCGUGAGUGAAGAAGGUUUUCGGAUCGUAAAGCUCUGUUAUUGGGGAAGAAGCAGUGACGGUACCCAAUGAGGAAGUCCCGGCUAACUACGUGCCAGCAGCCGCGGUAAUACGUAGGGGACGAGCGUUGUCCGGAAUCACUGGGCGUAAAGGGCGCGUAGGCGGUUUUAUAAGUCAGAUGUGAAAGGUACCGGCUCAACCGGUGACGUGCAUUUGAAACUGUAAGACUUGAGUACUGAAGAGGCAAGCGGAAUUCCUAGUGUAGCGGUGAAAUGCGUAGAUAUUAGGAAGAACACCGGUGGCGAAGGCGGCUUGCUGGGCAGAUACUGACGCUGAGGUGCGAAAGCGUGGGGAGCGAACAGGAUUAGAUACCCGGGUAGUC
rnacentral:rRNA from 1 species